AACGAACGCUGGCGGCAGGCCUAACACAUGCAAGUCGAACGCCGUAGCAAUACGGAGUGGCAGACGGGUGAGUAACACGUGGGAACGUACCCUUCGGUUCGGGAUAACUCAGGGAAACUUGAGCUAAUACCGGAUACGUCCGAGAGGAGAAAGAUUUAUUGCCGAGGGAUCGGCCCGCGUCUGAUUAGCUUGUUGGUGAGGUAACGGCUCACCAAGGCGACGAUCAGUAGCUGGUCNGAGAGGAUGAUCAGCCACAUUGGGACUGAGACACGGCCCAAACUCCUACGGGAGGCAGCAGUGGGGAAUAUUGGACAAUGGGCGCAAGCCUGAUCCAGCCAUGCCGCGUGAGUGAUGAAGGCCC
rnacentral:rRNA from 1 species